GACCUGAUGGCACAACGGUUAGUGCAUCUGCAUUCAGUUAUUCCUCUUUGUAAGGGUUUAUGUAGGAGGUCCCCGUUCGACUCGGGGUCAGGUCA